rnacentral:lncRNA from 10 species
CAGCAGGUAGAGCAGAGCCGGAGCCAGGUGCAGGCCAUUGGAGAGAAGGUCUCCUUGGCCCAGGCCAAGAUUGAGAAGAUCAAGGGCAGCAAGAAGGCCAUCAAGGUGUUCUCCAGUGCCAAGUACCCUGCUCCAGAGCGCCUGCAGGAAUAUGGCUCCAUCUUCACGGGCGCCCAGGACCCUGGCCUGCAGAGACGCCCCCGCCACAGGAUCCAGAGCAAGCACCGCCCCCUGGACGAGCGGGCCCUGCAGGAGAAGCUGAAGGACUUUCCUGUGUGCGUGAGCACCAAGCCGGAGCCCGAGGACGAUGCAGAAGAGGGACUUGGGGGUCUUCCCAGCAACAUCAGCUCUGUCAGCUCCUUGCUGCUUUUCAACACCACCGAGAACCUGUAUGGCCAGAAGGCAGGGCCGAGGGGUGUGGGCGGGAGGCCCGGCCUGGCUUAGUGGGGACCCAGGGCAUCAGACACAGGUACAGCACAUAGGCCAGGAGCCAGGGGGUGACUGGGGUGGCUCGGCUCGGGAGGCCUGGGACCCCACAGUGCACGCUGUGCCCCUGAUGAUGUGGGAGAGGAACAUGGGCUCAGGACAGCGGGUGUCAGCUUGCCUGACCCCCAUGUCGCCUCCGUAGGUACAAGAAGUAUGUCUUCCUGGACCCCCUGGCUGGUGCUGUAACAAAGACCCAUGUGAUGCUGGGGGCAGAGACAGAGGAGAAGCUGUUUGAUGCCCCCUUGUCCAUCAGCAAGAGAGAGCAGCUGGAACAGCAGGUCCCAGAGAACUACUUCUAUGUGCCAGACCUGGGCCAGGUGCCUGAGAUUGAUGUUCCAUCCUACCUGCCUGACCUGCCCAGCAUUGCCAACGACCUCAUGUACAGUGCCGACCUGGGCCCCGGCAUUGCCCCCUCUGCCCCUGGCACCAUUCCGGAACUGCCCACCUUCCACACUGAGGUAGCCGAGCCUCUCAAGACCUACAAGAUGGGGUACUAACACCACCCCCACCGCCCCCACCACCACCCCCAGCUCCUGAGGUGCUGGCCAGUGCACCCCCACUCCCACCCUCAACCGCGGCCCCUGUAGGCCAAGGCGCCAGGCAGGACGACGGCAGCAGCAGCGCGUCUCCUUCAGUCCAGGGAGCUCCCAGGGAAGUGGUCGACCCCUCCGGUGGCUGGGCCACUCUGCUAGAGUCCAUCCGCCAAGCUGGGGGCAUCGGCAAGGCCAAGCUGCGCAGCAUGAAGGAGCGAAAGCUGGAGAAGAAGAAGCAGAAGGAGCAGGAGCAAGUGAGAGCCACGAGCCAAGGUGGGCACUUGAUGUCGGAUCUCUUCAACAAGCUGGUCAUGAGGCGCAAGGGCAUCUCUGGGAAAGGACCUGGGGCUGGUGAGGGGCCCGGAGGAGCCUUUGCCCGCGUGUCAGACUCCAUCCCUCCUGUGCCCCCACCGCAACAGCCACAGGCAGAGGAGGACGAGGACGACUGGGAAUCCUAGGGGGCUCCAUGACACCUUCCCCCCCAGACCCAGACUUGGGCUGUUGCUCUGACAUGGACACAGCCAGGACAAGCUGCUCAGACCUGCUUCCCUGGGAGGGGGUGACGGAACCAGCACUGUGUGGAGACCAGCUUCAAGGAGCGGAAGGCUGGCUUGAGGCCACACAGCUGGGGCGGGGACUUCUGUCUGCCUGUGCUCCAUGGGGGGACGGCUCCACCCAGCCUGCGCCACUGUGUUCUUAAGAGGCUUCCAGAGAAAACGGCACACCAAUCAAUAAAGAACUGAGCAGAAA